rnacentral:rRNA from 1 species
UACGUAGGGUGCGAGCGUUGUCCGGAUUUAUUGGGCGUAAAGAGCUCGUAGGCGGCUCGUUGCGUCAACCGUGAAAACCCGGGGCUUAACUUCGGGCUUGCGGUUGAUACGGGCGGGCUGGAGUUCGGUAGGGGAGACUGGAAUUCCUGGUGUAGCGGUGAAAUGCGUAGAUAUACGGAGGAAUACCUGAGGCGAAGGCGGGUUGCUGGGCCAACACUGACGCUGAUGCGCGAAAGCCAGGGGAGCAAACGGG